rnacentral:tmRNA from 1 species
GGGGGCGAACUGGUCUCGACGGAGGUUAUGAGACACAGGUUGCACGCCGAGGUCCCACCCACCUCGUUAAACUGGUGGAAAACAAAUUUAACUGCAGAACCUUUAGCAGUCGCGGCCUAAGAGAAAGGCACGCCGUUCCGGGGGCUCCCUCCCGCAGGGCCUUCGGAGCGUCAACCGGGCGGGAUAGCGAGCCGGUUUCGCCCUGAGGCCGGGGAGCGAAACACCUUCGGGGCUGGUUUCCCGGCGCCCUUCCCCUUCGAGCGCCGGGCGACGAGAUCAAGGAAGGGGAUAAGCGUGUAGAGACCUGCUGUUGAAUGCUUUCGGACGCGGGUUCGAUUCCCGCCGCCUCCACCA